UACGAAGGGGGUUAGCGUUGCUCGGAAUCACUGGGCGUAAAGCGCACGUAGGCGGAUUGUUAAGUCGGUGGUGAAAUCCUGGAGCUCAACUCCAGAACUGCCUUCGAUACUGGGAGCUCGAGUCCGGGAGAGGUGAGUGGAACUGCGAGUGUAGAGGUGAAAUUCGUAGAUAUUCGCAAGAACACCAGUGGCGAAGGCGGCUCACUGGCCCGGUACUGACGCUGAGGUGCGAAAGCGUGGGGAGCAAACAGG
rnacentral:rRNA from 1 species